rnacentral:lncRNA from 1 species
CCACGUCGGCGGCGGCGGCGAGCCACUGCCCGUCGACAUGCGCGCCAUGAACGCCGUCAGCGCGAGGCCGUCGUCGACGUCGACCGCCGCCGCGGCGGCGGCUGCUGCUAGCCACGCCAGUGGCCAUACCGCGGCGAGCAAGAGACGCUUGCCGGCGAGUGCCAUUGGUGUCACUGUCACGUAAGAACGGUGUGCAAACUGCAUGGAAAUUGCUAUACUGAUGCGAGAGUUGAUCAUAUCUGUGCAUAUAAAGCCUUUUUAUAUGAUUAUAGGUACCCAUUUUAUAUCGGUUUCUGUUUCUGUUUAUAUUAGUAUGAUUUUCAAAUUGCUAAAUGAUAAAGUCUGCGCAAAAUUCUCUAUAGAAAUUAUUUUACAAUAUUCUAUUUUUUAAGUUUGUAAUAAUUAAAGUUCAAUUAAUUAUGUGUUAAUGGUUUUGUUGUUUUUUUUGGCUAAUUUCAUCUUCAUUUUCGAUGCAUAGACAGUUGCUUUCAAUCCAAUUCCAGUAGUCCAUUCUUGUGGAAAUACAUCACUGAAUUUGUCCACGGUCCACAUUUUUGGUUUCUGGUUAUUUCUGCCGCAUUGCCAGUUUGUUAUGGAGUUGCUACUUGCUAGUCUUCUGCAGAGACCAUGGACCAGCUUGAUUGAUUAACCAGCGAUUGCGAG